GAUGAACGCUAACGGCAGGCCUAAUACAUGCAAGUCGAACGGUGUCUUCGGACAUAGUGGCGCACGGGUGCGUAACACGUAUGCAACCUACCUUACAUUGGGGGAUAGCCUUUCGAAAGGGAGAUUAAUACCGCAUAAGACAGUAGCUGGGCAUCCAGCAGCUGUUAAAGAUUUAUCGAUGUAAGCUGGGCAUGCGUCCAAUUAGCUAGUUGGUGAGGUAACGGCUCACCAAGGCAAUGAUUGGUAGGGGAACUGGGAGGUCAAUCCCCCACACUGGAACUGAGAUACGGGCCAGACUCCUACGGGAGGCAGCAGUAGGGAAUAUUGGGCAAUGGACGCAAGUCUGACCCAGCCAUGCCGCGUGCAGGAUGAAGGCGUUAUGCGUUGUAAACUGCUUUUAUACAGGAAGAAACGACUCUUGCGAGAGGCAUUGACGGUACUGUAUGAAUAAGCACCGGCUAACUCCGUGCCAGCCGCCGCGGUAACAC
rnacentral:rRNA from 1 species